AGGAACCUGCCUCGGAGUGGGGGAUAACACAACGAAAGCUGUGCUAAUACCGCAUGAUACAGUUGGGUCGCAUGACUCUGACUGUCAAAGAUUUAUCGCUCUGAGAUGGCCUCGCGUCUGAUUAGCUGGUUGGCGGGGUAACGGCCCACCAAGGCGACGAUCAGUAGCCGGACUGAGAGGUUGACCGGCCACAUUGGGACUGAGACACGGCCCAG
rnacentral:rRNA from 1 species